GAUGAACGCUAGCGGCAGGCCUAACACAUGCAAGUCGAGGGAGAGGUUACCUUCGUGUAACCAAAACCGGCGCACGGGUGCGUAACGCGUAUACAAUCUGCCUUUCACAUAGGGAUAGCCCGAAGAAAUUUGGAUUAAUACCUAAUGGUAUAUAAGAGCGGCAUCGUUUUUAUAUUAAAGCUACGGUGGUGAAAGAUGAGUAUGCGUUCUAUUAGCUAGUUGGAGAGGUAACGGCUCCCCAAGGCGACGAUAGAUAGGGGUUCUGAGAGGGAUGUCCCCCACACUGGUACUGAGAUACGGACCAGACUCCUACGGGAGGAAGCAGUGAGGAAUAUUGGACAAUGGUCGGAAGACUGAUCCAGCCAUGCCGCGUGCAGGAUGAAGGUCCUAUGGAUUGUAAACUGGUUUUGUAAGGGAAGAAUAAGGAGUACGUGUACUUUGAUGACGGUACCUUACGAAUAAGCAUCGGCUAACUCCGUG
rnacentral:rRNA from 1 species